ensembl:lncRNA
GUCAACAGCUUGUACUGCAGUAGCAGAGGGGAACCCCCAGAGCCACAGUCCCGAGAGCAGGGUCUGUAGCACGUCCUGCCAUGGAGAGAGAAGAGUCAACUGUUACACUUUCAGAGGUACUGAUACCGUCAGGAUCCAAAGCUCCUGCCGUUGGGUAACAGCUGGUAGCCUGUAGGACAGAGGCACUGGAAACCCCCUAUUGUGUUCCGGCACUCAUGUUGGCACGGGUUCCUCAGCAAGCACUCAUCCAGAUCUGUACAGAGACCGAUGACACAAUGAGGUGAGCAAGACGUAACACACUCAACUCCCUUGCUUGUGGCCUUUGCUUACAGACAUUCAAAUCAAAUUAGAAACUGCAAAGCUUUUUCUUCAUCUUGUCCACAAACACAGAUGCCAAAUAUAUGACUGAACGGGAAUCUUACUACUUCGGGGGGGAAGAGACGACUCACCGACACAUGUGCCAUCUCUGUUGGUAUAGCCUAUGGGGCAGCUCUGUCUGGUGAUGCGAGAUACCCCAUGAUGCCGAGAGGGAAUGGGCCUACCCAGCGACGACACCAGCUGUGGGCGCAGUCUUGCCCUGACACGGCUACCGUUGGAGAAGGCCUGUCCUCUCUCUAGACCAGCACAAGUGCGCCCAUCCCCCGUUAACACAGUGCCUGGUGGGCAGAGGCACCGGAAGCUGCCUGGCAUGUUACGGCACUGGUGGGCACAGGGGCUUGGCCUCUGUAGGCACUCAUCAAUGUCUGAAAGGCAAAACAAGACUCAGACACUACUUAGAACAAGAUUUUAUUGGACAGUAGCAUAUUGUUUAGUGUAGUAAUACAUGUCUAUGCCAAAAUGAAGUGUCUUACCCAGGCAUGGACGGCCCACCCCCUGGGACUGAUAACCUCUGGGGCAGACACAGCCGUACCCCCCAAUGGUGUUCUGACACAUCUGGCUGUAACGGCACAAGUGGCUUCCAUCCUGGCAUUCGUCCACAUCUGUGAAUCACAAUGUUGGUAAACACAGGGCAUACUAUAAUGAUAGGAUCAGCAUUCUCACACCACAAACCUGCGUGCAACAACAUUCAAAGUAAAAGAUGGGUGAAGUAUAAAUGGCAUCAUACCCACGCAGGCUCCAUUCUCUCCCAUUCUCAUGCCAGCUGGGCAGCUGUCGAAACACUGGUAGCCUCCCUCGGUGUUGCGGCACUGCUGGUGAGCUGGGCACACAUUCCUGCUGCACUCGUUGAUGUCUGUAUACAAACAAACACAAAGGGUUAGAGAUUCCACAAUUUAACUUGUAUGAUACUGGUAUGAAAUAUUUGAGUCUGUUGAUAAUAUCAUCAGUGAGUCACAGGGUCCACUGACCAAGACAGCGCUGGCCAGACAGCUGGUAGCCAGGGUUGCAGACACAGCGGAAGGAGCCCAAGGUGUUCAGACACUGCUGCUGACACGGGGAGAGAGACGACUCCUGGCACUCAUCCACAUCUGAAACUCACACCACAGGUCAAACUCUGUUACUAAUAUGCCUUAUUGUCAGGACCUUAUUAUAAGAUGGAGACUAGAAUGUAUUCUAUUCAGUGCAUGACUGAAAAACAAUCCCCCCCUCCCAAAAAAGUGUAUUUGUUGUGAAUAGACUUGCCUUCACAGCUGGAUCCCAUGGCGCUGGGCUUGAAGCCUGGGACACAUUUAGCCUGGCAGCGGUAUGUGCCAACCGUGUUCACACACUGCUGGUUGUAGUGGCACAUGUGGGAGCCCUGGGCACAUUCAUCAAUAUCUGUAGAGAGAUACCACAUGUGAGGUCAAACACAAGAACACUGUCUGCAAUACAGCAGUAGGAUGUAUACUUUCACAGUGAUAAUAUCACCCCGGAACCAAAUAGUGCGUGUGCUAGCUAACUGAUUCUGUUUACAUUUUAUCCCCCAACACUCUUUUCUUUUUUUUUUAUUACAAAUUUCAAAAUAGAUUACCUUCUAAAUAUAGCAUACAAAUCACCAUGAUACCAGAUCCCUUUACAGACCGAUCACUUACUGUAACGUUAUAUCUAAUUAGGAGAUACUGUAUAACGGUGUGAUAAAUUAUGCAGCAUUCAGUUUCCUGCGGCUGACCUUGACAUGUGUUGGUUUCUGGGGAGAUGGUGAAGCCAGAGGGACAGGCACAGGAGAAGCCACCCAUCACAUUGUUGCAGGAAUGUGAGCAAGGCGACUCGGCAGCACAUUCAUCCUCAUCUAAGCAUUCAGAUACAGUUUAUAAAGGUAAUCUGCAUUAAUGAGUUAAUUGAAUUGCAAACUACAAAAUAACAUUGGUCGAUCCAACAAAGAAAUUGAAGAAGGAAAAGGUAUACAAAACAUACCUGUACAGUAAGAGGCUGUAUCCAGGACAAAACCUUCCGGGCAUGUUUUUCCAUCCCCAUCUAAAGACAGAGGAGCACAUUCAAUCCAUGAGCAGAAGAUGCUACUGUAUCACAACUUUAAACAAUGAAAAUUACAUCUUAAAAAUGAAUGUGUUUGCUACAGUACAUCAGUUAAAAUUCAAGUGUUUGACUGACUGUCUGUUAGUCUGUAUUGUUAGCCUGCCUUGUGGUAAUCUGUCUUAUAUUUCCACUGACCAGGUAGGAGUAGGGAGGCUGUGAUCUGGAAGUCCAGACUGAGAGUGAACAUGCUGUAGAUGCCAUCCAUCUGGGACACCUUGAUGAGCUGCAGCAGUGGCCCCUGACGCUCCUCUCGGCCCUCGUAGAUGAUGGAGUGGUUACAGCGCAGCACCAUGGGACCGUCUGCUCUCUGGUGGGCCUGGGACGACCAUGAGUACAGCUGCCCUGGUCCCGUUUGCACGCCCUGGGUCAGGGAGUAGCCGUUCCUGGCUGCUCCAGUCUGCAGCACUGUGGUCCAGUAGAUGGGAGCAAACACAGACACCAACACCCGUAGCAAUGGACCUGCAAAACAUCAGUAGUUAGACCACAGCCUCUAUGGAAAUACCUCUGAGCAAAGUGUGAUAGGUCAAGAUACAGCAAUGAUCAGUGGCUGAGUGAUCUAUGUGCUUGAUUAUGGGAAAUAACUUUACAGCAAGUGCUUGAUUAUUGCAUUUAGAUGUGCUUCUGAGAGGCUCCUACUGGUUACUGUAAGACAUCUCUCACACUCCCAUACUCACCCACACUAGGAGGGAUGUUGUCCAGGUGGGCCUGCAGGGUGCUGGUGCCCUCUUCUGGGUUAUCUGUGAUGUUAGCCUCCAGGAACGACACCCCAAACUCCCUAUCAUUCACCACCCCUAUCAGACUCCCCCUGGCCUUACGAGGGGCCUCCCCUUCAGUCAACAGAGACAGAUACAUAAGUAUUAAGUUAUACAUUAUUUAAGAGUAGCUGUACUAUACCUUCUAUGUACACACAUUAUUUAAUUGUUAAAUUCAGCUGCGUCCGUUUGGAGUGACAGGAGAACAGUUCAAACACCCGUACCUGGACAGAGUCCAAUCUGACAUCUCCUGGAGUCCCUACUGGGAGCGUCACAUGAUUUCCCCCCAUUGGCCAGCUCUGGAUUGUUGCAUAACCUGAUUCGCUCCUGAUUCCCUCGACCACAGGUGGUGCUGCAUGGGCCCCAAUCCUCCCAGUUAGAAUAACCUCCAUUGACUGUGGCAGGAGAGGGAGAGUAGGGAGGGAGACGGAGAUCAUCCAUAUAGAGAAUUAAAUAAACAAUCCAUAAUUACUAUUGUGUGUUUUCUUAUUCCUUUGAUAUAAUGGAUCGAGAGGAUCGAAUUGUAAGAAUAUUAGAUUUAUUUUAUUUAUUUAUUUAUAGGGGACAAUCAACAUUAAUCAACAUGAAUAUUACAAUAAUGCAACAUCCAUGUAAAUGUGCCGGGG